rnacentral:rRNA from 1 species
GACGAACGCUGGCGGCGUGCCUAAUACAUGCAAGUAGAACGCUGAAGGAGGAGCUUGCUUCUCUGGAUGAGUUGCGAACGGGUGAGUAACGCGUAGGUAACCUGCCUGGUAGCGGGGGAUAACUAUUGGAAACGAUAGCUAAUACCGCAUAAGAGUGGAUGUUGCAUGACAUUUGCUUAAAAGGUGCACUUGCAUCACUACCAGAUGGACCUGCGUUGUAUUAGCUAGUUGGUGGGGUAACGGCUCACCAAGGCGACGAUACAUAGCCGACCUGAGAGGGUGAUCGGCCACACUGGGACUGAGACACGGCCCAGACUCCUACGGGAGGCAGCAGUAGGGAAUCUUCGGCAAUGGACGGAAGUCUGACCGAGCAACGCCGCGUGAGUGAAGAAGGUUUUCGGAUCGUAAAGCUCUGUUGUAAGAGAAGAACGAGUGUGAGAGUGGAAAGUUCACACUGUGACGGUAUCUUACCAGAAAGGGACGGCUAACUACGUGCCAGCAGCCGCGGUAAUACGUAGGUCCCGAGCGUUGUCCGGAUUUAUUGGGCGUAAAGCGAGCGCAGGCGGUUAGAUAAGUCUGAAGCUAAAGGCUGUGGCUUAACCAUAGUAGGCUUUGGAAACUGUUUAACUUGAGUGCAAGAGGGGAGAGUGGAAUUCCAUGUGUAGCGGUGAAAUGCGUAGAUAUAUGGAGGAACACCGGUGGCGAAAGCGGCUCUCUGGCUUGUAACUGACGCUGAGGCUCGAAAGCGUGGGGAGCAAACAGG